GAGGAAUAUUGGGCAAUGGGCGCAAGCCUGACCCAGCAACGCCGCGUGAAGGAAGAAGGUCUUCGGAUUGUAAACUUCUUUUGUCGGGGACGAUAAUGACGGUACCCGACGAAUAAGCCACGGCUAACUACGUGCCAGCAGCCGCGGUAAUACGUAGGUGGCAAGCGUUGUCCGGAUUUACUGGGUGUAAAGGGCGAGUAGGCGGACUGACAAGUCAGGUGUGAAAGCCCGGGGCUUAACCCCGGGUCUGCAUUUGAAACUGUUGGUCUUGAGUAUCGGAGAGGCAGGCGGAAUUCCCGGUGUAGCGGUGGAAUGCGUAGAUAUCGGGAGGAACACCAGUGGCGAAGGCGGCCUGCUGGACGACAACUGACGCUGAGGAGCGAAAGCGUGGGGAGCAAAC
rnacentral:rRNA from 1 species